rnacentral:rRNA from 1 species
UACACUCCUACGGGAGGCAGCAGUGGGGAAUUUUGGACAAUGGGCGAAAGCCUGAUCCAGCAAUGCCGCGUGUGUGAAGAAGGCCUUCGGGUUGUAAAGCACUUUUGUCCGGAAAGAAAUCCUUGGCUCUAAUACAGUCGGGGGAUGACGGUACCGGAAGAAUAAGCACCGGCUAACUACGUGCCAGCAGCCGCGGUAAUACGUAGGGUGCGAGCGUUAAUCGGAAUUACUGGGCGUAAAGCGUGCGCAGGCGGUUUGCUAAGACCGAUGUGAAAUCCCCGGGCUCAACCUGGGAACUGCAUUGGUGACUGGCAGGCUAGAGUAUGGCAGAGGGGGGUAGAAUUCCACGUGUAGCAGUGAAAUGCGUAGAGAUGUGGAGGAAUACCGAUGGCGAAGGCAGCCCCCUGGGCCAAUACUGACGCUCAUGCACGAAAGCGUGGGGAGCAAACAGGAUUAGAAACCCGUGUAGUCCCAU